GGUAGGGAUACCCGCUGAACUUAAGCAUAUCAU
rnacentral:rRNA from 1 species